AUGUUGCUGGGGAUGUACCCGCACAGCCCAACUGGCGAGUACAGAUUAUUGUUGUACUUGAGUGAUGCAAAUUUGGGACACGAUGGCUCCUAUGUCUUUUCAUUAGGCUCCGACCAGCCGCCGAGGUACAAAGGGUAUCCCAAUGCAUUUGAAUUGAUGUUCACCAGACCCAUUUUGUUCCGUGGUAACCUGCAUUGGCAAAUUCUAGAGAGCGCGGGCAACAUGUUAAAGGUAUUCGACACCACCGCUGAGUCGUUCCGGCAGAUGCGUGCUCCGCCUCUUCCUUACCCCGCUCACCUGUUUGAGAUGGAUGGAAUGCUCAGCAUGUCCAGCUUUGAUGAGGCAACCAACACAACCAUUGAUAUCUGGAUGUCACAAGACUAUGACAACGAGCUAUGGGCCUUGAAAUACCUGGUUAAAUUACCAGUUGCAGAUCUCACUGUGCAGUUUGGAAAGUUUGUUGAGUAUUGGAAUUUCAUGGUCACUUCUAGGGAUGGUGGUGUGUCCAUGCUGGUCAAAUUUGGUGAGUGGCUACUUCAGUUUGACAUCAAUGGCAAGUUGAUUGCCAGUUUCCAUUUUAGAGGCCUCGUUCCUGCUGAACAUUGUCUCAAGCAAACUCUUGUUCAGCAUACCUUCUUUCCAAUGCUACAGGGUUAUGUUGUGAACAAUUCAUCUUUCAUCGGAUGUUAG
rnacentral:rRNA from 1 species